UUUACGAACCUCUUCACCUGGCUGUUCAUUUGUCUACCAACGAUAAUCCUUUAUGAUGAUUCAGCUAUAGUAAAGCACUUUUCUGGGCUGUCUAAGUUGUUCUAGAACUCCCAAACUGAAGAGACAGCUGUGGGAACCAUCUAGAUGUAGCAGCAGUUAGAAGUAACUGUGGUGACCCGGGACUAGGGACUAGUACGAGAACCUGGGCCGGCUUGCACAAUGGGGCCCCUACCUUGUGGGCCUGCUGCUAACUGCAUUAACUGUCAGGACUGAGUUGGGUUGGAGGAUGCUCAGCUGCUGUUGGCGAGUUGGAGUAGCACUUGGGAAACCACCCGGCAUCUGCCGUCACAGAGAAAGCAAUUUGGGAGUGGCAAAGUGUCUCACAUUCCUCUGACUUCUGUCCCAUCUCUCCCGGGCCAGACUCUAUCUCCCACAGCUGCCUUUGCCCCAUCCCCAUCGGGAUCGCCGUGCCAGGGGCUCCAGAUCCGUCGGACUCGGUCUAGUACACAAACUUUCUUUCAGAUUCUCGAGUAGUCAGUUUCUCCCAACCUUAGCUCGCCUUUCUUCCUCAGAACGUUGGCAAAGCUCACAGCAGCGCCCAGGUUGUCAACUAUACCAUCCUUCCAACCAAGUAGCAUGGUAGCUGAGGAUGUAGCUGCAGGAGUCCAGAAGCUCACAGAAAAUCUAUGGGCCAUAAAACUGCACUGACAUACAAGUUAGACUGAAAACUUGUGGAGAAGAGGAGUUUUCCUUUGUGCCCUGCCAAGCGUGGAGAAAUUGAGGCCCAUGAGAACGGGCUUAAAUAAAAUCGUACAGUAGUGGUGGCGUGACCACAGGACCACAGCUCCAGCCUUUCAGGCCUGCCCGUGUUCCAAGCUCCGAAGUCCUUCAGAGCUAAUGACCUGACAUGGUUAAUUGCUCACAAGUCUGAGCAUCAGAGGUCAAGAGGAUCAUUAGUUGCAGCCUGGAGAAGAGCCAUGUCAUCUCCAAGGGGAAUAAUACGUCCGAUGAAUAGGAGCAUUAGAGAUUUUCAUGUGCUCCGUGCCUGUUUCUCCCGCGAAAGACGGAAGCAUGAAACUGAAGCUGGUAGAAACAACGUCAAAAUAAUGAGAGGGCUGGGAAGAUGGCCCUGCAGGUAAAGGUAACUGGCCAGACCUGAGGACCUGUGCUCAGUCCCCAGGCUCCUUCGUGGUGGAAAGACAGAACUGACUCCUAAGUUGUCCUGUGACCUUCUCAACCACACCAUGACUCAUGUACUUCACCACCCCGACACACACACAAAUAAGGGAGAAUCACUGACUAGUGUGUGAUGUUAGCCUGUGACAAUUAAUCUUGUCUCAUGUCUUCCCGACGUCAGGCUAACUUAAGCAUCUGGAGAGAGGCCCCUGACCCCACAGGUGAAAGUCUCAGCUGUGGCAUUUAAGGUACCAUGGGAAGAUGAGAAAACCAAUGAACAGAAUUGCCAAAUGCUGGCACACACUAUUUAAGUGGCUACAUAAAGGCUUCCAGGUCCCUGUUUUAAAUGUGUGGCAGAAAAGGCCACGAGGGCUACUACUGUGUGCCCUGCCACACUUUUAAAGGCUCAAUGGAGCCUUGUUCAA